UAAGCCAUUAACUCUUCAUUUUUAAGUACACAGAAAGCAAUAAACAAUGUUUUUGAAUGCCUAUUAACAGUAAAGCAUAAUAACUCUUCUUUUUCAGAGUCUGAGGGUCACAUUCCCCUUCCUAUUACAGCAAGUGGAGAGUAACCACACCCAGCAGAAUUUGCUUUUGUAGUUUAGAAGCAGGGUAAUCCUAUCGCCAUGUCCUAUGGAUUCCUCUCUGAAAUCCCACAGCAACGCAGGACUGGAUUGUGUUUUGUAACCACUGCUAUGCUAGGAUGUAUGGAGGUAUAUAGCUGGAAGCAUUCUAUCUGCUGGAGACUUGAAGGCAGAAUGACUGAGGUUUCUGCAAGUUCACAUAUGGAGUAACACCUGUGACAGACAUGGAACUGAUAUGUGAUAAUAUGAACACUGUGGUGCAACAAUUUUAUGAACAUGAUAUGUGACCUAGUCAGUGAGGGGAAGUUACUGUAUAUUGGGAUUAUAAUACUUUCCCAUGUGAGUGCAUUGAUCUAGUUCAAUAGGGGGCACAGGAAAGAACAAAGAGGAAAGCAGCACAAUUGUCCCUUCUAAGGAACCGCCUAGGAAACAUUGAGAGCAAUUACAAGACAAUGCUUCUGUGCUCUGGGCCAAAGUGACACAGCUGUUCUGCCAGGCUGUGAGGCUAAGGAUUAAAACAAAAAUGUAACCAGACCAAUCACUAAAAUAUUAAAAAGACUUCUGAGGAAGAGAAUGGAGGUGAGUUGCAGGGGUGUCCAAGGUGUUGUCAGUGAGUUCUGGCAGGGAGACAAGCCGACACGGAGACCGACUCUGCAGAGAGAGUCUAGAAAGGAACUAGCCUUGCCAGGGUCCCCAUGUGGCAGACGGCUAGAUACAUGGUAAGCAGGCAUGCAGACAUUUGUUUAUUGAUUUCAAGAUAUGUUUUCUCUGCAAUGCUUUUGUUCUAAGUAAACGAUACUUUGUUUAAAGGAGGCUGUCUGGUUACCACUUGCCACUGCCAUUGCCCCAGAGAGAACAGAGCUGCAGAGUCUGUCUGGUGAAGAUAUUCUGUGCCGACAAAACAGAGCUCUCUUGCCGACAUAAUAAAGCUACCUCCAUUAACUGUCA
rnacentral:lncRNA from 1 species